CAAUAGCGUAUAUUUAAGUUGCUGCAGUUAAAAAGCUCGUAGUUGGAUUUCGGGUGGGAAUGGCCGGUCCGCCGUUUCGGUGUGCACUUGUUACGCCCACCUUGCUGCCGGGGACGUGCUCUUGAGUUCACGCUCGGGACACGGAGUCGGCGAGGUUACUUUGAGUAAAUUAGAGUGUUCAAAGCAGGCCUACGCUCUGAAUACAUUAGCAUGGAAUAACACGAUAGGACUCUGGCCUAUCUUGUUGGUCUGUAGGACCGGAGUAAUGAUUAAGAGGGACAGUCGGGGGCAUUCGUAUUUCAUUGUCAGAGGUGAAAUUCUUGGAUUUAUGAAAGACGAACUACUGCGAAAGCAUUUGCCAAGGAUGUUUUCAUUAA
rnacentral:rRNA from 1 species